GCUCUGAAAGCAAAAGAAUUGCACAGGUAUCACUUAAGGCAGAAUUUGGCCUUCAGAAAUAUUGUAAUUGGUGUUCACGUCUGAUAUGGAAAGAAUCCAGCCUGUCUCUCAGAGCCCAGGGCUUCAGACAAGGACGCCAUUCGGAGACAACACUUGCUGCCCUGCUGGAUGAAUGCUUCCUUUUCCACAGACUGGUUCAGAAUUCAAUAACCAUUCCAGGAUAGAUGAUAAUGGAAUUGGUGAAGACAGCGGUGCUAUGUAAAGAGCCAACUUUCCAUCACGCUGGCACUCAGUAUGACACUAACCUGCAGGACAAAGGAAAAUGUGGUCUAAUUAUAAAUCUCCAGAGAAAACACUGAAGUGGAAUUUAAACAUUGUCACAGUCAGUGAUUUCAAGUCUGUUUUCCAAAGCUGAGCAGCUAAAAGCAAAUCUGAUACAGUCCUGUACUAUAAGUAAG